rnacentral:misc_RNA from 1 species
UCCGGCUUAUCACCGGCAGUCCCUCUAGAGUGUCCAACUUAAUGAUGGCAACUAAAGGCAAGGGUUGCGCUCGUUGCGGGACUUAACCCAACAUCUCACGACACGAGCUGACGACAGCCAUGCAGCACCUGUGUCCCGGUUCCCUUUCGGGCACCAAGGCAUCUCUGCCAAGUUCCGGGCAUGUCAAGGGUAGGUAAGGUUUUUCGCGUUGCAUCGAAUUAAUCCACAUAAUCCACCGCUUGUGCGGGUCCCCGUCAAUUCCUUUGGGUUUUAACCUUGCGGCCGUACUCCCCAGGCGGUCAACUUCACGCGUUAGCUUCGUUACCAAGUCAAUUAAGACCCGACAACUAGUAGACAUCGUUUAGGGCGUGGACUAC